UGGAUAGAGGUGAGAGGGCGGUGGAGAGAUGAGAGAGAGACCUGACCACCCAGGCCUGUCUUUACGAGGGUCUACAAGGAGUUGGCUGCAGGUCGUCUCAGAGGGUUCAACCGUUCAGAUUCCUCAGGGAGAUUCACGAUCGGACCCUGUAGGAAUGCGGUCGGGCCACGUGCCAGCGCACUUUUCCAGUCUCGGCUAAUCAGAGUCCAACAUCUGGGCAGUUACCAUGGUUACAGGACAGCCGGGGUGUGCAAGAGAAUGGUAGGCGGUCGACAACCGUGUCCCCAGAGAGAGAGAGAGAGAUGGAGAAGGAAAGUGCAACUGAUGGACAAAGAGGUGUGAACCCCGAAGGGGAUCCACUGAGGAGGGUACCAGGAUGGAACAGCCCGCCGCCGUACUCGUGUGGAGUGGGCAGGGAAUACGUUGGGUAGGUCGGGAUGGGAUGAUGCGUGGAGGGUGU